rnacentral:rRNA from 1 species
AUUGAACGCUGGCGGCAUGCCUUACACAUGCAAGUACGAACGGUAACAGGUUAAGCUGACGAGUGGCGAACGGGUGAGUAAUGUAUCGGAACGUGCCCAGUAGUGGGGGAUAACUACUCGAAAGAGUGGCUAAUACCGCAUGAGAACUGAGGUUGAAAGCGGGGGACCUUCGGGCCUCGCGCUACUGGAGCGGCCGAUAUCAGAUUAGGUAGUUGGUGGGGUAAAGGCCUACCAAGCCGACGAUCUGUAGCUGGUCUGAGAGGACGACCGGCCACACUGGGACUGAGACACGGCCCAGACUCCUACGGGAGGCAGCAGGUGGGGAAUAUUGGGCAAUGGACGAAAGUCUGACCCAGCGACGCCGCGUGCGGGAUGAAGGCCUUCGGGUUGUAAACCGCUUUCAGCAGGGAAGAAGCGAAAGUGACGGUACCUGCAGAAGAAGCACCGGCUAACUAUGUG